CUAUUAGCUUAGUCCCUAACUGGUUUUCAACCCUAAACAGAAAGUUCCAUCACAAAAUUCUCCACCCUUUCCAGCUAUCAAGUCACUAUCCGCCCACAUUUUUUCUGUAGACUUUGGAUGGUAUUUUCCCUUCAGCACUCCCAGACAUCUCUUUCCACACAAUCUUAUUGAAGACCAUUCCUAGAACAUGUGUGGAAAAGCAACAUGGAAGCAAUCAAUUGCAUCCUUGAAGUUUCUACUCCCACC
rnacentral:lncRNA from 1 species